UUACUAAACCCCAAACAAUUGCUAGUGGUGAUAUUAGCCACCACAUCAUCGAAUUAAUUUUUACCGUUAUGUCUUGAGUAACAUGGGAUUCAUUUAAUAUUUUCAACAAGGACUCUCUAUGGGCUUCAGAGCUUAACAAUAGAGAUAGUAUGGAUAUUUUGGAUGGUGUCUGGCUUAAUUGGUCUACCACUUUGUAGUCGCUCUUCUUG
rnacentral:lncRNA from 1 species